UAUGAAAAAUGUACCCCAAAAUGCGUUGCCUUUUAAGAAGGACAGACGCGGGUCGGAAGCUCCAAAAUUUGCACUAAGUUCAGCUCCGCCGGGAAAAUGACAGAGACCACACGAUGCUGUCAGGAAAAACAAACUGAUCCCUUUAUUGCAGAAUGCAAAGCUACAGCUGUAGGGUCCCUGCCUCUGGAAAGAAGGAAGGAACCCCGGGAAAUGGUGGGCAAUCCUUCGAGAUGGGCGCAGGAGUGGAGCGAUUUCCUGACGAUUUCCAUGAGGUGAUUUUGGCAGGUGUUUUCCUUGAGGCCGCGGAAAGAUGGACUAUGGCAUGUUUAAUUUGAAUAAAGUUGUCAAGCUAA